GCCUUCGUGGUGUAAUGGUCAGCACGCUCGACGUGUAACCGAGAGGUCCGUGGUUCGAUUCCCGGAGAAAUCG
rnacentral:tRNA from 1 species